UUGACAUCCAAAUAAGAGAGUGGAAGCUGAAAUAUGAUGGCUAUUAAAUGUACCAAAAAACUUAUGUUGGUAAUGAUGGAGCUGGUUAUCCUCAUAAUAAUUGAAUUGCAUGGAAAUGACCCUACCCAUUUCUCUCUGAAUCCUGCUCCAGCUCCUACUAGCCUUCAUGCCUCCCAAAUUAAUCAUACUUACAAUCAACUUUGCCUUGAAAGCACAGUUGAAAAGUGUGAAAAAAUACAAAAUUUAAUUGUUUUGGAGAAAUGUGUUAUUAGUAAUCUUCUUUUUUGCCUUUUUAAGCAUCCAAUACAUCAAAAGGUUUCUGUAAAAGAACGUUUCGUCAUUCCGCGAAAAUGCAUUACUAAAUGUUUUGGGCGGCUUAGAGGCAUCCGUGGUGCACAAUGUUUGUUAGACUGCUAUGAAUGGAAAAUGAGCAAGCAUUAAACAUCUAUAUCUUUGAUGAGCUCUGAGGUUGGUAAAAGGGAUAAAGAAGUUCACAUGUGCUGCUGACUCAUUCUUUGGGUCAUUACCCAUGCCAGUUCAUUCAAGCUGAUUGCUCAAGAUUAUGAAGAAAAAUCAGCUAGGUGUUCAUCUUCUCUUCAACAUGAGUCCCCAUCUUUUGUCUUCUCUAUGAAAUGUUGGUCCUCCAGGUCUAAAGAAGGAUUCUCAACAUGCUUGGCGCCUCACACACGUGAGGCUCUUCUUUUAUGUUUUGGUGCCUGGCCGCAUGACAUGUCUUCACAUAAAGAGCUGUUGGUCUUCUUUUGUUUGUUUUCCCAUCUAUUGCAAUUCCAC